AGAGUUUGAUCCUGGCUCAGGAUGAACGCUGGCGGCGUGCCUAACACAUGCAAGUCGAGCGGGGAUUUAAGUGCUUGCACAUAAAUUCUAGCGGCGGACGGGUGAGUAACACGUGAGUAACCUGCCCUAAACAGGGGAAUAACAAUGAGAAAUCAUGCUAAUACCGCAUAAGCUUACAAAACCGCAUGGUAAAGUAAGAA
rnacentral:rRNA from 1 species